CGGGGCGUGGCUCAGCUUGGUAGAGCGCUGCGCUUGGGACGCAGAGGUCGCAGGUUCAAAUCCUGCCGCUCCGA
rnacentral:tRNA from 1 species